rnacentral:rRNA from 1 species
CAAAAAAAUUACCUCGUAACUUCGGAAGAAGAGGUACCCCUUCACGGGGGUUGCAAUAGAUUGACCCUGGCGACUGUUUACCAAAAACACAGGUCUCCGCUAAUUCGUAAGAAAAAGUAUGGGGGCUGACGCCUGCCCAGUGCCGGAAGGUUAAAGAAGUUGGUUAGUCCUUGGACAAAGCUAGCGACUGAAGCCCCGGUGAACGGCGGCCGUAGCAAUAACGGUCCUAAGGUAGCGAAAUUCCUUGUCGGGUAAGUUCCGACCCGCACGAAAGGCGUAACGAUCAGGGUACUGUCUCGGAGAGAGGCUCGGCGAAAUAGACAUGUCUGUGAAGAUGCGGACUACCUGCACCUGGACAGAAAGACCCUAUGAAGCUUUACUGUAUCUUGGAAUUGGGUUUGGUCUUUGCAUGCGCAGGAUAGGUGGGAGGCUUUGAAGAUGAUCUUGCGGGGUCGUUGGAGCCACUGGUGAGAUACCACCCUUGCAAUGAUAAAAUCCUAACUUUGAACCGUUAUCCGGUCAAAGAACAGUUUCAGGUGGGCAGUUUGACUGGGGCGGUCGCCUCCUAAAAGGUAACGGAGGCGUGCAAAGGUUCCCUCAGGCUGGUUGGACAUCAGUCGUAGAGUGUAAAGGCAUAAGGGAGCUUGACUGCGAGACCAACAAGUCGAGCAGAGACGAAAGUCGGCCUUAGUGAUCCGGCGCUUCCGAGUGGAAGGGGCGUCGCUCAACGGGUAAAAGUUACUCUAGGAUAACAGGCUGAUCUCCCCCAAGAGUUCACAUCGACGGGGAGGUUUGGCACCUCGAUGUCGGCUCAUCGCAUCCUGGGGCGGUAGUACGUCCCAAGGGUUGGGCUGUUCGCCCAUGAAAGCGGUACGCGAGCUGGGUUCAGAACGUCGUGAGACAGUUCGGUCCAUAUCCGGUGCAGGCGUUAGAGUAUUGCGAAGACUCCUCCUUAGUACGAGAGGACCGGGGGGAAUGCACCGCUGGUGUACCAGUUAUCGUGCCAACGGUAAACGCUGGGUAGCCAAGUGCAGUUUGGAUAACUGCUGAAAGCAUCUAAGUAGGAAGCCAGCUUCAAGAUGAGUACUCUCACCGCUUCAAGCGGGUAAGAUCACGGCAAGAACAGCCGUUUGAUAGGCAUCAAGUGUAAGUGCAGUAAUGUAUUCAGCUGAGAUGUACUAAUAGAUCGAGGGCUUACUAAA